rnacentral:lncRNA from 1 species
AUGGAGCAAGAAUUGACUGAUACAGACACAGAGAAUACAGACCUCUUGGAUUCAGAUGAUGAAGAAUAUAGCCAUGAAACAGUUCUGGUGGCUGGCAGAGCCCCUUGGGUCAUGAAGAAGAUAGAGCAUUUCUCUGCAUUGUGCGAUCUGUCCUUUCCCGAGCUUCUGGAUCACCUCAUCCCUCCAGCACCUCAGUCACAAUGCCUGGGCAACUUGCCUACAUAUCAGAACCUGAGAAGCCUCUUUCAGUUUUGGCUGUUGUUCAAAUAUUGGUUAGGAUCUUCAGGUCUGUGUGGACCCUUUCCUUUUGGGGUGAGUAACUGUAGGUGAUUUCUAAAUUUCUUGGCUCUUACAAUCAUCAGUUGUCCAUUUGUUUGUCCUGAGUUGCUCCCACAUAUCUGUGAGAUUCUUGCUGAUGCUGUGGGUUUGGACUUACCUACUCAUAUUCUGAGGUUCUUGGGAAUAUUUUAUUAGCUAAUCCACAGUUUUCCAUUCUAUGACAAAUACCUGAAAUAAUCCAGUCAGUCCAUAGUUGUUUGGCCCCAUUGCCUUUGGGUUGGUGAGGAGGAAGUACAUCAUGGUGGGGAGCAUAUGGUCGAGGAAGCUGCUCAACUCAUGGCCAGGAAGCAAAGAGAGAAGAGGAACAGACGUAGGUCCCAUGAUCCUCUUAAGGACAUGCCCCCAAAUGACUUAGCCUCCUCCCAUUAGACUUCACCUCUCAGGAGCUCCACCAUCUUUCAAUUGUCCCAGUGCCUGGGGACCAAGCUUUUAAUAUAUAUGCCUUGGGAGAGUAUACUUAUCCAAACCACAACAGCUAGUUGCAUUUAAAAUGGCAUCUAUGAAUUUUUCCCUUUGAUUUUCUAGAUCAAUCUUACAUUUAGGUCACAUCUUUCAAGCAGAUGAGAUCUUAAUUACAUUUUAAAUUCCU